rnacentral:rRNA from 1 species
AGUUUGAUCCUGGCUCAGGAUGAACGCUGGCGGUCUGCUUAACACAUGCAAGUCGAACGGAGUCCUUCGGGAUUUAGUGGCGGACGGGUGAGUAACGCGUGAGAAUCUGCCCUUAGGUUGGGGACAACAGUUGGAAACGACUGCUAAUACCCAAUGUGCCGAGAGGUGAAAGGUUAACUGCCUGGGGAUGAGCUCGCGUCUGAUUAGCUAGUUGGAGUGGUAACGGCACACCAAGGCGACGAUCAGUAGCUGGUCUGAGAGGAUGAUCAGCCACACUGGGACUGAGACACGGCCCAGACUCCUACGGGAGGCGGCAGUGGGGAAUUUUCCGCAAUGGGCGAAAGCCUGACGGAGCAAGACCGCGUGAGGGAGGAAGGCCUAUUGGUUGUAAACCUCUUUUGAUAGGGAAGAACACAAUGACGGUACCUAUCGAAUCAGCAUCGGCUAACUCCGUGCCAGCAGCCGCGGUAAUACGGAGGAUGCAAGCGUUAUCCGGAUUUAUUGGGCGUAAAGCGUCCGUAGGUGGCAAACCAAGUCAGUUGUUAAAGCGUAGGGCUUAACUCUAUAAGGGCAAUUGAAACUGGUUAGCUAGAGUGCGAUAGGGGCAAGGGGAAUUCCCAGUGUAGCGGUGAAAUGCGUAGAUAUUGGGAAGAACAUCGGUGGCGAAGGCGCCUUGCUGGGUCUGCACUGACACUGAGGGACGAAAGCUAGGGGAGCGAAAGGGAUUAGAUACCCCUGUAG